rnacentral:tRNA from 1 species
GGGGAUAUAGCUCAGUUGGUAGAGUACUUGCCUUGCAUGCACAAAGCCCUGGGUUCAAUCCCCAGUACCA